rnacentral:rRNA from 1 species
UUUUAUGGAAUUGAUUGCUAUAUUUUAUAUUUAUAAGUUAGAUAUAUUGAUUUUAAUAAUGUGAUUGAUUAAGAUUUAGUAGCAGUAGUAUAAAGUAUCGUGAGAAAUUUUUGAAAAAUUGAAAAAUGAUUUAUAUGGAAGUAAUAUAUUUGUACCUUUUGUAUUAGGGAUUAACUAAAAAAGUUAUGAAUUUAUAAUUCCCGAAAAAUUUUGAGUUACUUUUAAUUUUAAGCAUUGUUGCAGAAAUGUUUGGCAUUUGGAGUAGAAAUGAAAUUUUUGUCGAAAAGUUUGAUAUCUGGUUAUUUUUAUAAAAAUUAUAUAUUUUAUAUAAGUUUUAUAUAUGAUAAAAGUUAUAAAUUUUCUUUUUAGGGAUAAGCUUAAGGAGGUUAUAUAUAGUGGAUAGGGAAUAGAUUGAGGGUUUAGAAUUUACUUAUUUAUUUGUAAUAAAAUAGUAAUAUUUGUUAAAUAAUGAUUUUAUUUUUACAUUUUUAUAUAAUUUGAUUUAUGAGAGUUAUUGUUAAUAUAAGUAUAAAUUUUUAAUGAAUGUUUAUAUAAUUAAUUUGAAUUGUUGGGAUUUAUUAGGUUGAUAGGAAUUCGGCAAAAUGAAUUUCUGACUGUUUAACAAAAACAUAGUAUUUUGGGUUAAUGAAAUAUUUAAUCUGCUCAAUGAUUAUUAAAUUGCUGUGGUAUUUUGACUAUACGAAGGUAUUGAAAUAAGGCUUUUAUUGGGUGCUAAGAGAAUGGUUGAACAGGGAUUUACUUUCUUUUAACUUUAAAUGGAAUUUAAUUUAAAAGUGAAGAAGCUUUUAUUAAUUUUUGGGACAAGAAGACCCUAUGAAUUUUUUUUAUAAUGUUAUUUAUUGUUUUUAAGUAUAAAAAAUAAAGUAUCUUUAUAAGUUGAUUGGGGUGAUUUUUAAAUAAUGUUUAACUUUAAAAUAGGGAAAUUGGAACCAUAAUGUGUGGUUGUUUAAUCAAAAUACUCUAGGGAUAACAGCGUAAUUAUUUUGGAUAGUUCAUAUAGAUAAAAUAGUUUGCGACCUCGAUGUUGGAUUAAGAUACUUAUAUAAUGUAGUAGUUAUAUUAAGGAGUUUGCUCAACUUUUAAAAUCUUACAUGAUCUGAGUUCAGACCGGCGUAAGCCAGGUUGGUUUCUAUCUAGAUAGAUAAUUAUUUAUUUUUAUAGUACGAAAGGAAUUAGAAAUUUAAAGUUUUUAAGAAAGGUAGUUAAAAAUAAUUUUUAAUU